UAUUAGUAUAAUGAAAGUUAAUUAAUAGGGAAAGCUCUAGCUAAAUUCGUGCCAGCAGCUGACGGUAAAACGGAUAGAGCAAGUGUUAUUUAUAGGAACUAGGCUUAAAGCGCUAUCAGGUGGUGUCUACUUCUUAUUAAUAAAAGACUAGGACUUAAUCCUUGGACUAUUUCUAAUAAGUAAAUGCUCGAAUAUGUAGGAGAUAUAAGAUACUUUUAAUGUAAAGGUGAAAAUUUGUAAAAAUUAAAAGGAUGACCUAAAGGUGUAAACUUUAUAUCACUAUCUAUUGACACUGGCCAGCGAAAGAUAAGUUCUAAACUCGGAGUCGUUUCCCGAUUAUUCUUAUCCCUCAACUAUAAGUGUAAAAUCGUCAGUACCCUAAAAAGUCUGGUGGUUUCAAGUUUACGCUAUAAACACUUCGCCUAGGAACUACGAACGCAAGUUUGAAACUUAAAGGAAUUGACGGAGGU
rnacentral:rRNA from 1 species